rnacentral:rRNA from 1 species
UGGCUCAGGACGAACGCUGGCGGCGUGCCUAACACAUGCAAGUCGAGCGAGGAGAUCCUUCGGGAUGAUCCUAGCGGCGGACGGGUGAGUAACACGUGGGCAACCUGCCUCAUAGAGAGGAAUAGCCUUCCGAAAGGGAGAUUAAUACCUCAUAACAUUGCAGUUUCGCAUGGAACAGCAAUUAAAGGAGUAAUCCGCUAUGAGAUGGGCCCGCGGCGCAUUAGCUAGUUGGUGAGGUAACGGCUCACCAAGGCGACGAUGCGUAGCCGACCUGAGAGGGUGAUCGGCCACAUUGGGACUGAGACACGGCCCAGACUCCUACGGGAGGCAGCAGUGGGGAAUAUUGCACAAUGGGGGAAACCCUGAUGCAAGCAACGCCGCGUGAGUGAUGACGGCCUUCGGGUUGUAAAGCUCUGUCUUCAGGGACGAUAAUGACGGUACCUGAGGAGGAAGCCACGGCUAACUACGUGCCAGCAGCCGC